UAGGGAGAGGGUGAGAAUGAGAGAAUGAGAGAGGGAAGAGGGGGAAAUGGCUAAUAAGCCCAUCUAAUGUAACAAAAUCCAGUGAGGCCCCUCAAAAAUCCAAAAUUGCAUCAGCCCGAACUGGGCAGUUUUCGCCCAGAGGGACCGGUCUCUCCCCGGCAGGGACCGGUCUCUCGUUGCGAACCCGAAAACCCAGCGUUCGGGAACCGGUCUCUCCCUGCGCGGGACCGGUCUCUCACUGCGAAGACGCGUUCGGGAACCGGUCUCGCCUGCCACGGACCGGUUGCCUCAGGCUGCAUCAACACUGCUCGCUGGGGGGACCGGUCUCUCCUUCCAGGGACCGGUCCCCGAGAGUAAAAACUCUCAGGACUUGUCCAAAGUUCCAGAUUUCGAACUUUUCGGGUCGGGGAACAUUUUAC
rnacentral:lncRNA from 1 species